rnacentral:rRNA from 1 species
AGUGAACGCUGGCGGUAGGCCUAACACAUGCAAGUCGAACGGCAGCACAGUAAGAGCUUGCUCUUACGGGUGGCGAGUGGCGGACGGGUGAGGAAUACAUCGGAAUCUACUUUUUCGUGGGGGAUAACGUAGGGAAACUUACGCUAAUACCGCAUACGACCUACGGGUGAAGGCAGGGGAUCUUCGGACCUUGCGCGAUUGAAUGAGCCGAUGUCGGAUUAGCUAGUUGGCGGGGUAAAGGCCCACCAAGGCGACGAUCCGUAGCUGGUCUGAGAGGAUGAUCAGCCACACUGGAACUGAGACACGUUCCAGACUCCUACGGGAGGCAGCAGUGGGGAAUUUUGGACAAUGGGCGCAAGCCUGAUCCAGCCAUACCGCGUGGGUGAAGAAGGCUUCGGGUUGUAAAGCCCUUUUGUUGGGAAAGAAAAGCAGCAGGUUAAUACCCCGCUGUUCUGACGGUACCCAAAGAAUAAGCACCGGCUAACUUCGUG